GAUAAUUAUUACACAAUAUUUAUUUUCAUAUUUUCCAUUUAUAGUCAUCUAUAGUCAUUUGUCAAAAUUGUUUUCUGAUUCUGCUUGCUUUUUUAUGAAUCAGUUAAUAUAUUUUCCUAUACUGUUCUGAGUUCUUCAUAUUAAUUGUUUCUUACAGCAGAAGGCUGCAAAAUUCACAACUAUUCCCUUAAAAUACUUGAUCCCAGGUCCUCUGAAUCUCUGAUUCUAUGCUAACCCCACAAAAUGCUAAUGCUAUUUUCUAAUGUAAAUAUGCCCUUCCUUUGUCCUCCUUGGGGUUUAGGUAUGUCUAGGUCAAAGGUGAUGAACAUUUUUGUCACUUUUUUAGAAUAAUGACAAACUGUUUUGCAGAGUGUUUGUACCAACUCACAGCCCCUUGAUGUUUCUAAUCUUUCCUCACUUCAGUCUAUCUUUCAUACUGAAUGACUCUAAUCACAUGCCUUCCCAAAUCAAAACCCCUGGGCCUCUAUAUUGCUUGCCAAAAUAAAGUUCAAAUUCUUCAUUCUGACAUCCAAGACCCCCCAUAACCUAGCUCUAACCUACUUUCUGACUCUUACUUUACUCUUUAUUCCAUGCCAACUUUCCUAUUUUCUAUUCUUUGAAUAUCUUUGAGGAGAGGGAAGCAGAGCUGUGAGUUCAUUGAUUUGGGUUUCAAAUCUCACCACUCUUCGUGAGAAAUCUCCCUCUCCAGUUCUUGCAGUUAAUACUUGGGAAGUUGUCUUGGAUGCAUCAAUUCAAUUCAACAAGUAUUCACCAAUUUGCUGAUAGGUGAGAGACAUCAUGCUAGGAUUUAGGCAUUAACUCUCAAAGAACUUGGGUACUAAUGGGGCAAAUGUCACAUACAUAAAAAAGUAUGAUGAUAAGGCAAAAGAAAAAUAUAUGGAGACAGAGAAAGUCAGAGAGACAAGGAAAGAGAGUUAGUGAGGAAGAGAGUGCAUUAGGCAGAGUUGCCAGGAGUAACAGCAGUGUUUGGCACACAGUAAGCAUAGGAAGGAAGGAAGGAAGGAAGGAAGGAAGGAAGGAAGGAAGGAAGGAAGGAAGGAAGGAAGGAAGGAAGGAAGGAAGGAAGGAAGGAAGGAAGGAAGGAAGGAAGGAAGGAAGGAAGGAAGGAAGGAAGGAAGGAAGGAAGGAAGGAAGGAAGGAAGGAAGGAAGGAAGGAAGGAAGGAAGGGAGGAAGGAAGGAAGGAAGGAAGGAAGGAAGGAAGGAAAGGAAGAAGAGAGAGGAGAAUGGAAAGGAAGAAAAGAGAAAGGGAAGGAAGAAAGAGGGAGGGAUGGAGGUGAGAGAAAGAAAAAAGGAGGAAGAAAAACACAUCAUUGA
rnacentral:lncRNA from 1 species